rnacentral:lncRNA from 1 species
ACCCAGUUAAAUGCCUACAUUAGUGCCCCACUUCUUAUAUUUUUACUUCCAUUAGCCUCUUCGUUUUCCCUACCCACACUCUUCUCCCCUUAUGCACUUGCCACCACUACAAUCACCAUCUCUUCGAAAGAAGAUCGUUGACUCUUACCACGUAAAGUCACCACUAUAAACCAUGACAUUAGUAUCCAAAGUACCUGUUCACUCGACCAUAAAUCAACCACACACCCACACCAUUACUCUCCAGGUAAGCCCCAACCAUCGCCAAUAUUGGCAACCCAACUCACUUUCAUUUAUGCCAAGAAUCAACCCUAAAUCGGCCACCCACUCAUAUUGUUACCCUUCAAGUAAUCCCCAUCCGUCACAAAUAUCGGCGACCUAACUUACCCGCAUUUCUGCCAAUAAUCGACCCGAACUGGCCUCAUACUCACACUGUUACCCUCCAGGUAACCCCCAACCAUCACCAAUAUCAGUGAUUCCCCAUGUUUCAUUACUAACAACCAUCAACAGCCUACAGUGGCAUUCCUACCUUUGAAAAGUACCAGGAUUGCGUUAAUACAAUUUCCAUAAUCACAAUCAAUCAUCAUAUAUGUAUGCAUAUUCAACAAACACACAAAAGUAUUUCAUAUAGGCAUAUAUAUUCAAUUGGUACAUAGAGUAGUUCAUUGUCACAUCCACACAUAUGUACACUCAAUAAAGUCCAUAUAGUUUCCACAUAUUCAUUAUUCCUGUCAUGU